rnacentral:rRNA from 1 species
AGAGUUUGAUCAUGGCUCAGAUUGAACGCUGGCGGCAGGCCUAACACAUGCAAGUCGAACGGUAACAGGAAACAGCUUGCUGUUUCGCUGACGAGUGGCGGACGGGUGAGUAAUGUCUGGGAAACUGCCUGAUGGAGGGGGGAUAACUACUGGAAACGGUAGCUAAUACCGCAUAACGUCGCAAGACCAAAGAGGGGGACCUUCGGGCCUCUUGCCAUCGGAUGUGCCCAGAUGGGAUUAGCUUGUUGGUGGGGUAACGGCUCACCAAGGCGACGAUCCCUAGCUGGUCUGAGAGGAUGACCAGCCACACUGGAACUGAGACACGGUCCAGACUCCUACGGGAGGCAGCAGUGGGGAAUAUUGCACAAUGGGCGCAAGCCUGAUGCAGCCAUGCCGCGUGUAUGAAGAAGGCCUUCGGGUUGUAAAGUACUUUCAGCGGGGAGGAAGGGAGUAAAGUUAAUACCUUUGCUCAUUGACGUUACCCGCAGAAGAAGCACCGGCUAACUCCGUGCCAGCAGCCGCGGUAAUACGGAGGGUGCAAGCGUUAAUCGGAAUUACUGGGCGUAAAGCGCACGCAGGCGGUUUGUUAAGUCAGAUGUGAAAUCCCCGGGCUCAACCUGGGAACUGCAUCUGAUACUGGCAAGCUUGAGUCUCGUAGAGGGGGGUAGAAUUCCAGGUGUAGCGGUGAAAUGCGUAGAGAUCUGGAGGAAUACCGGUGGCGAAGGCGGCCCCCUGGACGAAGACUGACGCUCAGGUGCGAAAGCGUGGGGAGCAAACAGGAUUAGAUACCCUGGUAGUCCACGCCGUAAACGAUGUCGACUUGGAGGUUGUGCCCUUGAGGCGUGGCUUCCGGAGCUAACGCGUUAAGUCGACCGCCUGGGGAGUACGGCCGCAAGGUUAAAACUCAAAUGAAUUGACGGGGGCCCGCACAAGCGGUGGAGCAUGUGGUUUAAUUCGAUGCAACGCGAAGAACCUUACCUGGUCUUGACAUCCACGGAAGUUUUCAGAGAUGAGAAUGUGCCUUCGGGAACCGUGAGACAGGUGCUGCAUGGCUGUCGUCAGCUCGUGUUGUGAAAUGUUGGGUUAAGUCCCGCAACGAGCGCAACCCUUAUCCUUUGUUGCCAGCGGUCCGGCCGGGAACUCAAAGGAGACUGCCAGUGAUAAACUGGAGGAAGGUGGGGAUGACGUCAAGUCAUCAUGGCCCUUACGACCAGGGCUACACACGUGCUACAAUGGCGCAUACAAAGAGAAGCGACCUCGCGAGAGCAAGCGGACCUCAUAAAGUGCGUCGUAGUCCGGAUUGGAGUCUGCAACUCGACUCCAUGAAGUCGGAAUCGCUAGUAAUCGUGGAUCAGAAUGCCACGGUGAAUACGUUCCCGGGCCUUGUACACACCGCCCGUCACACCAUGGGAGUGGGUUGCAAAAGAAGUAGGUAGCUUAACCUUCGGGAGGGCGCUUACCACUUUGUGAUUCAUGACUGGGGUGAAGUCGUAACAAGGUAACCGUAGGGGAACCUGCGGUUGGAUCACCU